GGAACCUGUGGACAACAUGGCCUCCACCGGUUGCGAUGAUGUUUUUGGCAAGAUAAAUCGCAAUGAAAUCCCCUCCGAUAAACUGUAUGACGAUGACAAGUGUUUUGUGAUCCGUGAUAUCAAUCCUUGCGCUCCGACCCAUUAUCUGGUGAUUCCGAAGAAGUGUGUGGAGUCCUUGGCAAAAUGCAGUGAUGAAGAUACUAUGCUCCUUGGCCAUCUUCUGCGUGUUGCCGACAAGGUUGCCGUAAAGGAGGGUUUGAAUAACGGUUAUCGUACAGUUGUCAAUACUGGAAAUGAUGGUGGGCAGGAGGUGAUGCAUCUCCAUAUACAUGUUCUGGGCAAGAGGAAGAUGUCGUGGCCGCCAGGAUAAUAAGGACUUGCAAUGGGUCAUUUCAAGUGAUGGAUGCGUAUUCUCAGUCUCGCCAUCAGUGUCUUAUGAACUUUUGAACAUUCAAUAGCAUUUCGCUUAAGGGAUGACCUUUCUCCGCUUUGCAAAAUCUCCCCCAAAUCAUAUUAUUUUGAGCCCUGCCUCCUACUAAUGCUGUUCCUUCAAUAACAUACCUAAAGUGAGCCAUAAUAACCUGCAGUUAUGUUAUGUUAUGUUAUGUUAUGUUAUGUUAUGUUAUGUUAUGUUAGGGAUAGUUUGUCAUAUGUUUAGUAGGUGGCUCCCCUGGUAAUUUAGGGGCAUUUUUUUCUUGCAUGUGGAUGGUUCAAUUCAUCCCAGCUGGCCAACAUAUUCAUUCUUUAAAAUGAUAGUUCUUUCAACACAAUUCACCUCAUCGAUCAUGAUCUACUAAUGUGUGUACCUUUUUCAAGGACAGAAUGAUAUUUCAUACUAACAGUGACAAUCAAUAAUUUGUUUAAAUUAUUUUUUGCCUCGCUCUGGCUUGCUAGAGGUUGAUAGCUUCAUGCGUAAUACGUUUUUGAUUGAAGUUAUGGAGUAGUUUGAAUUGUCCUAAGAUAGAAUGUCCUAGGUAAAACAAAAUUAUAUUAUGAACUUUAAUCUCUGAGCUAUUGACAGUCACGGCCGUAAUAGAACUAAUGUAUAAACACCAAUCCCUGAGAACACAAUUGAACCGGACACUUUUUCCAGGGGGACAUUUUAUACUUCUACACUGACAGUCCAGAGAAACGAAAUCGGAAGACGGAUAGACAGUAACCAAUAAUCAUUGAAUAAUAGGCACUUCGAUUUCGGUGGGCGACCUACCCGGAAAACACGUGCUCCCUCCGCAAAACACGCCAUCGUUGCAGGUGUUUUGACGAUAAGGAUGAAGUAAGUGUGAGCUAAGACGACUCACCAAAGGUUAAUGUCGACAACGAUCUUGCUGCCUGUAGUCGCCGCCGAAUGGCACCAGUCAUCAGUAACGCUGUUGUAGCAACGGAAGUAUCAUCAGUCUCAUCUCCAGGUUUGCUGGCUCGGAUGUCUUCUACGUCAUACACAUUUAGUGGCGGGCACGUACUGGCUGAGGCAGCACUAUCAUCGUCAGAUCGGAACGCUCUGGAUUGUACGCCCAGAGGGCAGGAUUAUAGUAAAUGUCGAAAUCGGUAUAUGGGUGGCCUUUGAGCCAAUAUAACUCUAUGCUUCACACACAUGUAACAGUAGAUUGAUGCAUGGGAUGACUAGUUUGACACGAUGAAACGGUAUAAACAAUACGUUAUUAUUUCAUUCGGGAAUUAUCCAUCACUGGGAAUAGGAAAAACAAACUGAUUUUCUCAAAAAACACCCGAUUCCCGACCGAAAUAAUAACGUGUUAAAACCAAUAACCGUUGUCGGUCGAGUGAACGAGUAGCUUUCGGAAAACAAUAAUUUAUGCAACGACGGAGACGUCAUAAGAGUGAGAGUCGUAGUACUCAUCUAUCGACAUGGGUUGACGUCCUAAGCGCGAGUCUCGUGGUACUUAUCUAUCAACAGGGGAUCACAAGCGGUCGUCCUAACAUCAAGAGCGCCAUCUGAACACGACGGUGCGUUAGGAUUAGGGUCGGUCUGAGUAAGCGGCAAGAAUAAGAGAGUAUACAUGUUUGGAUUACAGUCAGGGCCGGGGGUACUAUCAGGGCCAGGGUUUCUUCCCACCAUCAGUUUGCCCCUGAAUAGUCAAUGCAUAUAUACAGUUGUUGUGAACAGUUUGUUGAAAACGGUCUUUGAGGAACAAAACACACCUGGGUGAGCAUAGAACACGCGAAACAUAGGUAUAAGCAACCCUUCAAGCUGGUUCAAGCAUAUCAUCUAUUGCAACCUUUUAUCUGGGUUGGCAUCAGAAAGUCUCGUAUAAUAAUUUACUACUUUCCGAUUGCGCAUGUCCCAAGAGUAAACCCGUCCGAAAAUUCCUCGUCCUGUGGUCUCGUUGGCCUCCGUGCCAAAUACCAUUCACCCGUAUGAUCCUCGGAAAUCGAGGGUGAUUUUGCAGUACAGACCACGCAUGCGUACAUAUGUAUAUCUAUUCUUCAGAAACGUCUAUUAAAAAUGGCUCUUUUCCUUAUAUCAUCGAUACUACGUGAGAGUCUGCAGUUGCUAAAGCAUAUGGAGCCACAGUCGCUCAUGAGGAGCCAGCACACCAGAUUGCACGUUUCGACUCAGUCUUUUUUCCAUGUAAAUCGGCGCGAUUAGAGUAAAUAAGAAAACAAACUACCUAAUUUCUUAUCAAGAUCGGCAAGUUCAGAGUGAUAACGUUUUUUGGGCUAUCUUAUGUUAUUUAAAGGGUGUGGAAUGACAACCUUGCUACAUUCCGAUCUAUCACUCAAUCGAAGCAGUAUUGCUUUCAACUGUUCAAGUAUACAAUGGCGCCUAUCUUGGUUCGAUUACUUUUUGGAGCAGCUGUUAUUACACUAACAGUGUCACACAAGGAUGAAAAUGGGGUCACGUUGGAUUGCAAGUGUGACGGUGAUAAAGUAAGCCCCAAUGAUCCUCCUAUGGCUAUGAGACCAGUUUUAAGAUGCUGUACUUCUCGGAGCGGUGCACGUUCUUGCUGUAAUGCUGACGAAACUGCAUGUUUUUUAGCAUCGUUCUGCUGUUCAGCAUGCAUUGCCCGUAUCUCUGCAUGGACCGUUGUUGGACUAUUGAACGUGUACUUUUGGGUAACCAGGAUGCUGGUGUUAGACAAACAGGAUUAAAGAGGUGUUGCAUGGAGACUACUAGUAAUCGGGAUUCUAUACAAUAUCGCUUGCCAGGAAGGACAAGAGGAAUUCUUAAUAAUUCAAUGCUGGUUAUUUGGGACAAUAUGUCAGCAAAUGUAAUUGCCUCGAUGUGACAUUCGAAUCAUUUACUUCCAUUUCAUCAUCUUUUUCAUUUCGUUAGUAUUUAAAUGAACAAAGACAAUGAGAAAGGCCAGGUUAUGUUUUCAAUAUAGUGAUAUUUAAAUAUUUGAUUUUUCAAUAGCGGCAUGUAGAUAUAAGCACCUAAUAUAAAUUGACAAACCUCCUUUUCUUCUCGAUGUCAUCGAUGUAAUAUUUAAUACCCCUGUUUGUGCUGAAAUUAAAUAAAUAACUAGCAGAUGAAAAUAAAAUAUUGCAAAUUGACAUGAUGGAGUAAACCAAUAAAAAUUUGGUGUUUUCA